GUGUGUCCACUUCGGCAGCACGUAUACUAAAAUUAGAAUGAUACCGAGAAGAUGAGCAUGACCCCUGCGCAAGGAUGAUGCGAAUUUGUGAAGCAUUAAAAGAAUCA